rnacentral:rRNA from 1 species
CACGUAGGGCGCAAGCGUUGUCCGGAAUUAUUGGGCGUAAAGAGCUCGUAGGCGGCUUAGCAAGUCGGGUGUGAAAACUCCAGGCUCAACCUGGAGACGCCACUCGAGACUGCUAUGGCUAGAGUCCGGUAGGGGACCACGGAAUUCCUGGUGUAGCGGUGAAAUGCGCAGAUAUCAGGAGGAACACCGGUGGCGAAGGCGGUGGUCUGGGCCGGCACUGACGCUGAGGAGCGAAAGCGUGGGGAGCAAACAGG